rnacentral:lncRNA from 1 species
GGCUUCUUCCCAGAGUCUUUUUCUUCAGCCACCCAGAUCAAGGUUGGUUUCUUCCAUCUUCUCUCUCAAAGCUAGAAGCCAGAAGUAUUCAAAGGAGCCAAGGAACCCAGAAAAACUAUGGAGACUCUCUAAGAGACUGAAGUUAUCUUCUCUACCUCACUGGUCCACUUCUCUCUGCCCCUCAUUGAAGUAUAGAUCUCUACCAAAAAAAAGAUGGAAUAAGCAGAGUUUAAUAGGAAAAGCAUUUCCUGGGAGAAUUAAGAGAUCCAUGUUCAAGCACCAGUCAUGCCACAGACUCAGCUAUAUGAUGAAUUAGGCAAGUCACUUUUAGAGAAUAAUGGGAAUGUACUACAUGUUAACUGAUUUGAUACCUUUAACAAACUAUUUCAUGUAAAAUCUGGAACAUUCAUUAAUUCUUUCUAAAUGAUAAAGUACUUUGAAAAACUGGAACACUAAGGACCUGUAAAAAUCUAAGUGAUGCCCAUAUUAUAAGCCUCUCCCACACAAAAUAAUUUGCUCCUAUCUCAUAUACCUGGUCUUAGGUAGUCAUAUGACAUGUAAGUAACAU